rnacentral:rRNA from 1 species
CAUGUAGGCGGGAAUACAAGUCAGAUGUGAAAUGCUGCGGCUUAACUGCAGCCCUGCAUCUGAAACUGUAUUUCUUGAGUACUGGAGAGGAAAGCGGAAUUCCUAGUGUAGCGGUGAAAUGCGUAGAUAUUAGGAGGAACACCGGUGGCGAAGGCGGCUUUCUGGACAGUUACUGACGCUGAGAUGCGAAAGCGUGGGGAGCAAACAGGAUUAGAUACCCUGGUAGUCC